UAUAUAUAUAUAUAUAUAUAUAUAUACAUAUAUCCAUCAAAAUUCAGAUGAAGUGGAUUUAAGUUAUAGGCAACCGUACAGAACGUCCUUCAACCAUGAGAAAACCCCUAUACCGUAUAGUCGGCUAGAAUAAGUCCCGACAUAAAAACUAUGAAACAAUUAAAUUGAGAAAACCAAAAGCCUUAUUUCUUAAUAACCCCAAAAUUGUUAAAUUAUGUACGAGGAAAAUAGGAAUAUGCAAUGUAAAAGAAGUUAUAUGAUAAUGGAAAGGGGAGUAAAGAAUUAGUAUCAACUUCUUGAAAUUUGACCCAAACAUAGUCUUUUUUAAUAAAUGAUUUAUUAGCGAUAUAUCCAACCUCAGAUUACAUUUUUACUGUUGUCUCAAAUGUCUGCACAAAAGUAAUGUAUAGUAACUUUCCUCGUUAUCCGAUAAUUCAGUGAACAAAUGCAAAGACGAAAAAAGAAUAGAAUAACUUGAAUAUAAAAUUAAUGCUAUAUUUUGCAAAUUUGCUUUAAACCACUCCUAACUAUAUGUAUACUAUAAAAAUAACUCUCAUUAAGGAUGGGGUCAAAUGUAAUUUAACUAGACUUUAAAUUGCAAAAAAAACAUAACAAAUUAAAUUCUCAUAAAUUAGAAGUAGAAAAUAUUUUAAAUUCGAGUUAUUCGUUAUUCAAUUCCAACUAAAAAACUUUUUAUAAAUUCUGAUAAACUUGAAAUAUAUUGUAUUGUAAAUUUA
rnacentral:lncRNA from 1 species